UGAGCCUGGACUUUACCUUGCAGGAGUGGGGGACUUCUGAAGGGUUUAUAGCAUGGCUGUGACAUUAUCAACUUUGACUUGGAAAUAGCUCCCCUGGUCUUUUUCUCACGUGUCCCCUCAUCUCUACCUCUUGUGACUCCGAAGCUACAUGUGAUUAUUGUGGUGAACUCUAAAAGGAGGAAGUGUUUGUGGGCUGACAUUUACAUGUCCACGUUGGCCGGCUGUCUUGAGGCAGGCCAGUCUGCUGGGGCUACCGUGGGUCUCUCUCUACCAGGGUCCUUGCUCCUGCUUGGUCUUCUCAUGGACAGAGAGACCAUACAUCUGUGAGGAAUUGACAGGACAAAGAAAACGUCCCGUCGGGAGCUUCAACUAGUGAGGAAUUUUAAGCAGAGUUUGGGCUGCAGGGAUGGUGAACCGAGGCUUGGGGAGAGUAGGUGACGUUUUCUGGCACAAGUCUGGUAAUCUGCAAAUGGAAGCCAGCACGGCCCAGCGGUGGGAACAUAGUAGCACCAUGGAAAUUUAGAGAACGGUGUCCUCGGCCAAGGCAGCAGAACUGGCAUGGAGAUUCCUGCACGGCCCUCCUCAAGGCUCCUCACCUCUCCUUUCCUGUCCCCGCACAGAGCAAGCUCUCUCUGUGGCAUCCAGGCCAGCCCCUUGGUGGUCCCUGCCCCUGGGAGCAUCUCCCAGGCAAAUGGCAAAAUAACGGAAACAGAAUUUGGACCCAGAAUCUCCACGCAUGUUCACUGCAAUUAACCCUGAGGCUAAACCACCAGCCUUCCUUUCUCACUCAGAUAUUAAUUUCCUUCCAUCUUCUCUCCUUGGGGAGCUUGGGAACUUGGGUGAAGACAUGCACACAGCUAUCUGUAGCAGACAGGAUGAUGUAAAUGCUUAAAAAUAGACUAAAAAUGGAUGAAAGACCUAAACAUGAGACAAGAAUCCAUCAAAAUCCUAGAGAACACAGGCAGUGUUCUCUGUGACCUCGGUCACAGCAAUUUUUUGCUAGACACAUCUCCAAAGGCAAGGGGAACUAAGGUAAAAGUGAACUUUUGGGACCUCAUCAAGAUAAAAAGCUCUUGCACAGCGCAGGAAACAGUUGACAAAACCAAAAGACAACCUAGAGAAUGAGAGAAGAUAUUUGCAAACAUCUUAUCAGAUAAAGGGCUCACUC